UGCGUAGGUGGUUUUGUAAGCGCGGGGUGAAAGGCAAUAGCUCAACUAUUGUAAGCCCUGCGAACUGUGAGACUUGAGUGCAGGAGAGGAAAGUGGAAUUCCUAGUGUAGCGGUGAAAUGCGUAGAUAUUAGGAGGAACACCAGUGGCGAAGGCGACUUUCUGGACUGUAACUGACACUGAGGCACGAAAGCGUGGGGAGCAAACA
rnacentral:rRNA from 1 species